GACAAGGGGUGGCUUGAGAACAGGACCAGCUUUGUCUCCCUCACCGUCCUGACUGGUCCUCAGUCUCAGAUUCUCACAGACCAGCACCAGGAGACCUGGACAGGCUGUCAUGGCCAGCUCUCCGUGGAUUUGUGGAUUCGAAUCAAGAAUCAGGAAUUCUAGGACCUGCCCCCAUCUCACAUCCAUUGCAUCUCCACACCACCAUCAACCUCAUUUCUUAUUGAUUUAGUUCAGCUGCGUGGCCCUCUUGGCACCUCAGGAACAACACCUGUAAAACAGCUAACACAAUAAAUCCCCAGUCUGGGACUGGGUGCUACAUGGGUUGAUCUUGGGAUCAUAGAGCCAGCAAUUCUGCAGAUGGACCACCACUUUGGCGGAGGAACCUUAUCCUGUACCUGGCCAGACAUCAAGUGCCAGGGAGAGACCAUAGCGCAGCCUGAGUCAUGAGCCACACAUUCAAGGCCAUGAUCAGGAUCACCGCAAAACCCUGAUACCAGCCUCACAGAACACUAUGAAAUCUGAGGAGGACCGACGAUUCUAAGUGCUCCCCAAUGGACAGUCUGUGAAAAGGCAGGUGGCCUGACCUCUCUUUCUGGGAAUUCAUUCAUCUGAGUGAGGCAACCAGAAAAUGGAUCAAGUGUUUACUGCAAAAUUGAAACCUAGCAACUGGUCAGUAAUGGAAGAAGUCAGAUGAUAACUUUGUAUACUCUAAGUUCAAUUAUGGCCAGAAAAUAAAACUACAUGCAGUCAGAAAGAGCAAACAUGCUUUGAUCCCCUGAAACAUACAAACAAAUUAUUUAUGAUGAGGGAUACCAAGAUGUAAAGCAACAAGCUGCCAGGAGUUUACAUCCUAACUCUGACCCCUGGUUGUAAAAGUACUUUCUCCACCGCCUGGUCUCCUGUGUGGCUGCACGGGAUGGUGACCCAGAAUGGCAACAGAAUGCUUGUCUCUUCCAAAGCCACGCCAACAGAACAGAGACCAUCCAGUGUCGGCAAUAGGUGGAUUGGAAUGCUUGUGUCCCUUGAACCAAAUGUCUUAGGGCUCCAAAAGAAACUUUUUAUGGAUUGUUUUGUAGCAGAAAAUACAUGAUUGGACAUCUUAUACUAAAAACAGUCCUGUGACUAUUCAUAAUGUGACUUUACCAGCAAAUGACAUGUGCUCUUAGAACAAAAAUUUGUCCGUGUGGUACCCAAGCUACCACAGUGAAUCCCAGAUGCUUGUAGAAGGAUCAUCUGAUGAAAACUUGGGACCAGUUGUUGGCACAUGGGGCACACACCAAUCAUAAACUGCCUUUCAGUCCAUCAUCAUAUUUUAUUCCUCCUAUUAGGAGUUAAAUUCUGGCAACACAAGAAACAUGUGACAUCUUGUCUUUUCCCUUCCUCUGUUGGAUUCUCUCUAACCUCAUUAACACACACCCAUUACCAUAAAAGUUUUCAAUGAUAACCAAUAUUGAAUGAAAAAAAAUGAGUGAAUGAAUGAAUGAGGUAUCAAAGCUGUAUCAGACAUAUGUUUAACUAUGC
ensembl:lncRNA